rnacentral:rRNA from 1 species
UACGUAGGGUGCAAGCGUUGUCCGGAAUUAUUGGGCGUAAAGAGCUCGUAGGCGGUUUGUUGCGUCGGCUGUGAAAUCCCCGAGGCUCAACCUCGGGUCUGCAGUCGAUACGAGCAAACUAGAGUGUUGCAGGGGAGACUGGAAUUCCUGGUGUAGCGGUGAAAUGCCGCAGAUAUCGGGAGGAACACCGGUGGCGAAGGCGGUUCUCUGGGCCUUACCUGACGCUGAG